rfam:Myotis brandtii contig317363, whole genome shotgun sequence.
CACUUGGGGGAGGGGUUCCUUAGCACGGAUUGUGAGAGGGCACAGACCAAGCUGAGGGACCCCACUGGUGGAGG